rnacentral:rRNA from 1 species
UACGUAGGGGGCAAGCGUUGUCCGGAUUUAUUGGGCGUAAAGAGCGUGUAGGCGGCUAGGUAGGUCCGUUGUGAAAACUCGAGGCUCAACCUCGAGACGCCGGUGGAAACCAUCUAGCUAGAGUCCGGAAGAGGAGAGUGGAAUUCCUGGUGUAGCGGUGAAAUGCGCAGAUAUCAGGAAGAACACCCGUGGCGAAAGCGGCUCUCUGGAACGGUACUGACGCUGAGACGCGAAAGCGUGGGGAGCGAACAGG